AGUAGUUGAUCAGUGGCUCGAGGACGAACGCUGGCGGCGUGCUUAACACAUGCAAGUCGAACGGUAAGGCCCUUCGGGGUACACGAGUGGCGAACGGGUGAGUAACACGUGGGUGAUCUGCCCUGCACUUCGGGAUAAGCCUGGGAAACUGGGUCUAAUACCGGAUAGGACCAUGGACUUCACGGUUUGUGGUGGAAAGCUUUUGCGGUGUGGGAUGGGCCCGCGGCCUAUCAGCUUGUUGGUGGGGUAAUGGCCUACCAAGGCGACGACGGGUAGCCGGCCUGAGAGGGUGUCCGGCCACACUGGGACUGAGAUACGGCCCAGACUCCUACGGGAGGCAGCAGUGGGGAAUAUUGCACAAUGGGCGCAAGCCUGAUGCAGCGACGCCGCGUGAGGGAUGACGGCCUUCGGGUUGUAAACCUCUUUCAAUAGGGACGAAGCGCAAGUGACGGUACCUAUAGAAGAAGCACCGGCCAACUACGUG
rnacentral:rRNA from 1 species